GUUGGUAACAGUGCGCGUGCUCAAAUCUAUCGUGAUGACAAUUUUAAGUGGUGACAGCCGCGUAUAUGCCUCGUUGCCCUCGUAGCAGCGUUUUAACCGACUUUGCUAACACGAAACAUAAUUUUUUGACUCGGUGCGUGAUUCAUUCCGCGGACAACAUAUGGAAUAUUAAUCUUACCAAAGGGGUCAAGAGAAGCAGGCAGCCGGGCAAUUAGGAUUAUCACGUUAUGGACCGCAGGUGAUGAGCGUGUUGUGUUUAUGCACCACUGUACACCAGACCGCUCAAACCAACAGUCAGGCCAGCAAGAUACUUCCGAGCUCGCCGCCGAUUCAAUCCGAGGAAGAGAGGAUAAACUCGUCGCAGGAAAUACCCACCGACGAGCUGGCUCUAUUAGCUAAGCUGGAGGAAGCCAAUAGGCUUAUUGAAUCGGAUGCAAAGUCGUUGAACUCGCUUCAUAGUAAUCACAGUAGGAAAGGUUCUGACACAUCUCAGGUGUCGGUGGCGUCGGGGGGUAGCGGAGGGAAUGGCGAUGCUGCACCCCGACGCCACAAUUCAGCCGAUGGUGAAGAGAAUACUUGGACCCUGUGGGGUCACAUCGUCGCUGAUUGGGAUUAUCAUUGGAAGAAGAGGAAAGAAUUCGUCAAAGAAUUAGUACGUCAAGGAAUACCUCAUCACUUUAGAGGUAUUGUUUGGCAGCUACUAAGUGGUGCUCACGACUCUCCUGUGAAAAAGCAAUUCGCUGAGUAUAUCAAAGCCACGUCCGCGUGCGAAAGGAUAAUUAGGAGGGACAUAGCCAGAACCUAUCCUGAGCAUGAUUUCUUUAAGGAAAAAGACGGACUUGGCCAGGAGAGUCUGUUUAACGUUAUGAAAGCGUAUAGUCUUCAUGAUCGUGAAGUGGGAUACUGUCAAGGUUCGGGAUUUAUUGUAGGAUUACUCCUUAUGCAGCAAAUGCCGGAGGAGGAAGCUUUCGCUGUACUGGUAGCGCUUAUGCAAGAGUAUCGUUUGCGAGACAUGUUCAAGCCGAGUAUGGCUGAAUUAGGGGUGUGCAUGUAUCAGCUAGAACAUUUAGUUGCUGACACGCAUCCCGAAUUACACGCUCAUUUCACGGCACAAGGUUUUCACACGUCGAUGUACGCAUCGUCUUGGUUUCUUACGCUUUUUACCACGGCGCUCAGCCUGCCGCUGGCCUGCCGCAUUUUUGACGUGUUUCUGUCUGAAGGCAUGGAGAUUAUUUUCAAGGUUGCGUUGGCCAUGUUGCAUUUAGGCAAGGAAGAUUUGUUAAGCUUGGACAUGGAAGGCAUGUUGAAGUUCUUCCAGAAACAACUACCUGGAAGAGCCGAGAAAGACCCUGAUGUCCUCAUGAAUCUUGCUUAUGGUAUGAAAAUAAAUCCGAAAAGAAUGAAGAAGUUGGAGAAAGAUUAUACCGUAUUAAAAAUGAAAGAACAGGAGGAGAUGGUUGAGCUUCGUAGGCUCAGAGCGGAGAAUAGGUUACUUAGGCAAAGAACUGAACUUCUUGAAGCUGAAUCCGCGGAACUGGCGGAUAGAUUGGUCAGGGGUCAAGUUUCUCGCGCAGAAGAGGAGGAAACUGCUUUCGUUGUACAAAGGGAAUUAGCAGCCCUUCGGCAUACGCAUCUCGAGACCAGUCAUCAACUCGAGCAGGCUCAUGAGGAGUUGAGAUCUUUGUCGCUUCUGUUAGAGGAGAACGUGACGUCGAAGCAAUCUUCCUUAGAAGAAAUUCUAUCGAAACAAGAGGCGUUGUCGCAGAAGGAGGAAAUGAUACAGUGCUUGCAAGAGGAAUUGGUAAGGGUUCGGUUGCACGAGGCAGAAAAUGAUGCAACGAUAAGGGAACUCAGAGCGAGAAUACAGGAAUUGGAGCAAGAUAAAAAGACCUUACGUGAAUCGACGCCAGAUAAUUCUGUUGCUCAUUUGCAAGAAGAAUUGAUCGCUGUGAAGCUUAGAGAAGCUGAGGCUAAUCUUUCCUUAAAGGAUCUUCGGCAGAGAGUGAUGGAGUUAAGUUCUGCCUGGCAGAGGCAUUUGCAAGAGCACCGUUCAGCCCAGAAUCAACCUGCUAGCGAUUCUACGCCAAAGAAGCUAUUGUUCUGGGAGAACAGGGGCCAUGAGGUGCAAAAAUUCGAGGAAGACUUAAUGACAACCAGAAUUCGAGAAAUGGAAGCUUUGACGGAAGUAAAAGAGCUUAGAUUGAAAGUUAUGGAACUUGAAACUCAAGUACAGGUAGCCACGAAUCAACUCCGUCGGCAGGACGAAGGAGGGAAAUUGCUUAAAGAUGAAUUAGAAGCUGCUUUAACUAGAGAAAAAGAACUUACUGCCAAAUUAAGGGAGCAACAACACAAGUAUUCUGACCUGGAGUCAAAGAUGAAGGACGAAGCUAUGAUGGCUAGGAUACGCGAUGCGGAACACGCGCAGCAAGUGGCUGAACUCACCCAGAAAAUAUCUCUUCUUGAAUUAAAAAAUGAAGAGAUGCACGCGGAAGGUGAACUUAGAAACAAUUUAGACGACAGUGAGAGAGUAAGAGAAUUGCAAGAUAAAGUUGCAGAAUUAAAAGCUGAGGUCAUGAGAUUAGAAAGUUGGAAACAACAUUGGACAGGUAACGGUGGCCAAAAUGUGAGAAGCUUUAGUGUCGAUACUGAAAGCGAGCUGGACGAACGGGAUCUCCGAAUUUGUUUACAGGAUCAUAUCAAUGCGACUACGCAGAAUUCACCAGAGUUCUUAUUCAUUCGAUUAUUCGUUUGCGCCUCGAAACGAGGGGACCUGGCCUCCUUAUGGCUAUUGAUAGCUCCCAAGCGAAGCGGUACCCCACAGGAAAGGUAUAAUCCCGUGUACAGGCUUAACAAUCCCAGACCGAUAUUCCAAAGGAGCGAGAAGGAUAAAAAGGGAGCAAUAGCGUGAAAGAAAGCGAGACAUCAGCGAACGCAAAGACAAAAGCAGAGAACAGGAACCAUCGGGUGAUUCGGGAAGAGUUUGCGUCCAUGGGCGGCGCAACUUGUGGCAGGGCGUUCCAUAAUUAAUCCAGGGGUACCUAAAAACAUAGUUGCGCGUUUGGUCCUGUUGAAGUGGCGGUGGUGGCAGUGUUGCCAAGCUCGUGAAACCACGGCAAAGUGCUUCGAGUCAGCUCAUGGGGGUUCUCGGGAG
rnacentral:misc_RNA from 1 species